GAUGAACGCUGGCGGCGUGCCUAAUACAUGCAAGUCGAGCGAAUGGAUUAAGAGCUCGCUCUUAUGAAGUUAGCGGCGGACGGGUGAGUAACACGUGGGUAACCUGCCCAUAAGACUGGGAUAACUCCGGGAAACCGGGGCUAAUACCGGAUAACAUUUUGAACCGCAUGGUUCGAAAUUGAAAGGCGGCUUCGGCUGUCACUUAUGGAUGGACCCGCGUCGCAUUAGCUAGUUGGUGAGGUAACGGCUCACCAAGGCAACGAUGCGUAGCCGACCUGAGAGGGUGUGCGGCCACACUGGGACUGAGACACGGCCCAGACUCCUACGGGAGGCAGCAGUAGGGAAUCUUCCGCAAUGGACGAAAGUCUGACGGAGCAACGCCGCGUGAGUGAUGAAGGCUUUCGGGUCGUAAAACUCUGUUGUUAGGGAAGAACAAGUGCUAGUUGAAUAAGCUGGCACCUUGACGGUACCUAACCAGAAAGCCACGGCUAACUACGUGCCAGCCGCCGCCGUAA
rnacentral:rRNA from 1 species